rnacentral:piRNA from 1 species
UUGUAUCUUUUUUUUUUUCUUAAG